GCCCGGAUGGUCUAGUGGUAUGAUUCUUGCUGUGAGUUACCCUGCUAUUACACGUUGGGAAAAACGUCAACUAAUAACUUCUUCCAGUUGGGAUCCCAAGUCUGAAAUGCAAGAGGCCCCGCGUUCGAAUCGCGGUUCGGGCC